rnacentral:tRNA from 1 species
AAGAAAGUGGCAGAGCGGUUAUGUGGUCGGCUUGAAACCGACCUAUGGGGGUUCGAUUCCUCCCUUUCUCG